UACUUUAUUGUUGAACUGAUUGAUCUAGGUUUGCAACCCAGGGUUUAUAUUGGCAGAAAUUUUUUUUGGCAGAUUUUUUUUUGCAGAAUGAAGGGGAGGCUGCUACUCUAGUCACUUGCAGUGCUGCUAAUUUUUGGUCACCGGCUGCUCCAUUCAGAUCGGGGGAGGAAUCGGGCCUAAUUUCACCGAUACGUUAUUGAUUUGUUUUCAGUCUUCCGGCGAUUUUUUUAAACCGAGUUUAGGCGUUUUUUCGCGAUUUUUAGGGUACAAAUCCCUGCGUUUGAAACCCAAAGACUCACGACCAUUUCUGGCUCGCGAGUACUCGCGAUUUUUCUGUGUUUGUGUUAUUGUGUUUAAAAAACUUUGUCCAGUGAAUGUGAAUCUGAUGAGUCCAUCAACCAAACAUGGAAUGUUUCAUUUAGUGGCAUCCAAAUUUAACCCAAUCAAUAGGGAGAUCAAUUAUAACUCUUAGCGUGGAAAGAGAGAUAAACUAAUGGAUCCAUGUGACGUUAAGGGAGAAGCUUCUGGAGUUGCAGUUGAAAGAUCCAAUAAAGCCGGUGGAGUGGGUACAUCUGAAAUCUCUAAAUCAUUUGUUAACAUUGACACAACAUUAAACAUGGAUGGUCGCUUAGUAGGAGAGCCUUGAGUGCAAAGAAGAGCAAUGUGUAUAACUCUUAAUAUUUCUCUUUGCUCGUUUUCAGAUAGAGUCCCUAACUCCAGUUUUGGAUCAGCAAUGCUCAAGCUCUUGUUUGUUUCAUAUGAAUUCCAAGCCUGCAUCAAUCAAAAAUAGAUUAACAUCA